CUAGAGGUUGAAGGUUCGAUCCUUAUCAGUGACUCAGUGAGUAUUAAAGUCAAAGACACUCUUAAUUGGAUAAUUGAUGUUUUUUUGAGGUGUGGUUGUGAAGUCAGAAUCCUCAGAAUAUUCUUUUAAUGCUUCUAUAAGUAUUUCUAAACAGACAUGUAAUUCACUGCAUUGGCCACAUGGGAGCGCCACAUACCCAGGACGUGACGUUCAGGUGACGUUCAGGUGCGUAGACCGUGCUUAAGUUACGUGCCUCACAGGAGCUUCCGGUUCCGGUUCCUCCACACUGACUGACUGACGCACGGACACGCUUCUUCCGGACCACAACGGGAGUCUGCAGAAUGACUAACAAACGGCGAAAACACACAGCAGAAGGUGAAAAUGCUGGAAACUAAAGACCCGGACCCGGAGCGUGCAAGGGGGAGACGAGACGAAGCUGGAGGCCUGAACAGCUG